rnacentral:rRNA from 1 species
AAUUAGUUGAGUUUGGUGAUGGCUCUGACUGAACGCUGUUCAAGUGCUUGACACAUGCUAAUCGUACGAUUAAUUUAAUGAAUAAUUUUAUUAAUAAGUGGUGAACAGGUGAGUAUAUGAUAUCUCGACCAACCUUAAAGUGAGGAUAAAUUCCUUAUAAAGAUAAAAGGGCAACUGCUUUAAGAGGAACACGGAUAUCUUCGAAAUAGGUAGUAGUUAAGGUGAUGACUUAACUAGCUUAGCAUUUUCGUAACCGUAACUGAAAAGUUGAUCGGUCACAUUGGGUCUGAAAAAAGCCUAAUGCAAUAUAACGUACAGCAGUGGGGAAUCUUGGUCAAUGGCCUAACGGCCGAACUGGCAACUUGAAAGAAUGGGAAGUUUGAAAAUAGAAAUAUAAGUAAAAUUUAAUUGAUUAAUCGAAUAAAAUUUUAAAUACAUUGAUAUAAUGACGAUAUGUAUAUACGGUCUUGACAAAAUACGUGCCAGCAGUCGCGGUAAUACGUAUGAGACUAGCGUUAUUCAUCUUAAAUAGGUUUAAAGGGUACUCAAACGGUCAGAUUAUCCUUUAAUAGGUAAUAUUUGUCUAGAGUUUUAUGUAAGAAGACAGUACUUAGAGUGGAGAGAUUAUAUUCUGUGAUACCAAAGGGACUGGCAACGGCGUAGGCAGUCUUUUAUGUAAAAACUGACGUUGAAGGACGAAGGCAUAGAUCGCAAACAGGAUUUGACACCCCAGUAGUCUUUGCAGACAAUGAUGAAUGCCGUAGAUUAGAUGAGAAUUUAGUCUAUCAAUGAAAAUAAAAGCAUUUCACCUCAAGAGUAAUGUGGCAACGCAGGAACUGAAAUCACUAGACCGUUUCUGACACCAGUAGUGAAGUAUGUUAUUUAAUUCGAUGAUCCACGAAAAACCUUACCACGAUUUGCAUAUUACAUUUUAAUGUAAUACAGGUGUUGCACGGCUGUUUUCAGUUAAUGUUGUGAAAUUAUGGUUUUUCCAUGAAUUAACAGAAUCCUUUGCUUUAUUUAUUAUUCUAAUAAUUAUUAUUAGUAAUUUUAUACAGCACUCUUUUUAAAGAAUGAAAAGAUAAAAAGGAAUAAGACAAGUCAUCAUGGCCCUUAUAUUGUGGGCUAUAGACGUGCCACAUGUUCCUUAACAAAGAGAAGCAAAAAUGUGAAUUUAAGCUAAUCUCAAAAAAAAGGAUAUAAAUUAUACAAGGAUUGUAGUCUGAAACUCGACUAUAUGAAUAAGUAAUUACUAGUAAUCGUGAAUCACCAUGUCACGGUGAAUUUUCUUCGGAUUGGUACUAAUUACUCGUCGCAUGCUGAAAGGAGCGCACGUAAUAAGUUUGCUCUUUUGUUAUAAUCUCUUCUAAUAUUUAAAUUAGUAAAUUCUAAUCGAAUUCUUCGCAUACGUGUCUCUGAUUAGUGUUAAGUCGAAAUACGGUUCGUGUAGUGGAAGUUGCACGGGGUUUUUAGGAAAA